rnacentral:lncRNA from 1 species
UGAAAGCAGCGUGCCUGCCUACCUUGGUGGUGCUAUGUGCUGGUCGCCUAUCCCUCUUUGGCCAUUUCUGUUUUGAGUGGGUGACUAAGAGGUGCUGGUGUUUACCUGAGGAACAAUGGACUGUUUCCCCAAGGCGUGGAGUGUUUGCACUCUGCUGUCUGAUUCGUGCCAGUGUGCACUUGAGUUUGCAUAACCGCCCCCCCCCCCCAGGAAAACAGCAGCACCCAAGGCGAGGCUGGUUUCCCAUACCCUGGAAUGAAAAAAAUUAAUCAGAUGCAAAAAAUUGGAUUAUAUUUGACUUGAGCAGGCUCUCCUCUUCAUGAGGGGUAACGAGUAAUUAAAACUCAGGAGGACUAAUUGACCACUUGACCCAGUUAUGGUUUCUAUAUAUAAUGUUGGUCUUGAGUUUUUAUGGUUUAAAUUUUUCAUGUCAAUACCAAGACAAGUGAGCUGUCGGUGUAAUAAACAUGGUUUUAUCUCAUAAUUUCACUUUGUAGUCACAAAAUAUGAUUUUAUUUUGAUUUUUCAUGCCAUCAAAGCCUGCUGGAUAUUCCCCAGCCCAGCCCACCCCACCCUCUCUCACUCUCUUUCUCUCCUUCUCUCUUGCGAUUUGCUUCCCAUUAGAAACUGAAGAAAUGACUCUCACUAAUUCUCACAAUUAGCCCUAAUCUCCCUGGUUGAACCUUAUCCUUUAAAAGUUGCAUUAUGCUUUAUGGAACGAUCUUAAGACCCGACUAUUUCAUUUUUCAUUUUUUUAAAUGUGCCUAAAAAUAUGCCCUCAGAGGCCACACACUGGCCCAGAAGGUCCUGGCCUUCCAACACAUCCACAUUCCGUAAGGUCAGUUUGGGAUUCUGUCAGUGAUGGCUUCUCGGAGGGGCCUGGGUACUCCGUGUGGGAUAAAGGGUAGAGAUGACAUGAAUGGACACCCUCCUUUCUUGUUACCAGAUGCCAGAUUUUGAGGAUUGUGACCCUCACAGAAACUGCCAGUUAACCAAGGAAGGAUUUUUCUCUGUUCCAAGAAAUGGAUCUGUCUGGGAGCUGGCUGAUGCUCAGCUCUAACCUCAGGUUCAGCCUGUGACUGGGAAAACCUGCCUGUCUGGCUUCUAAGCCCUGGCUGCCUGCUGGCCCCUGUGAAAACCUGGUGAAGGCAGAGGAAGCUCCUGCCUGCUUCCUCCAUGACCAUGGCUUCCGCCUGCUCUCCUUUAGAUCAGCUCGGGUGUAUCUCCUCAUAGGAAUGUUUCUCCCUUUGAUUCCCAAUCUGCAUGUUGAUUAUCUGUGGGGCUCUACAAAGGAAGGAGAGAUAGCUGCUCCCGGUUGGGAGUUUAGGGUGGGGUGAAAAUCAGACGGGAUCUUGGGAGACCCUCUCUGAAGUCCAGAGAUUAGGAGGGCGCUCAGGAGGCUGCCCAGAACAAUGCAUGCUUUAGUCACAGGGCCUGAGAUUAUCAGUCAUCUCCGAGUUCAGGGUCAAAAAGAGAUCUCUUUCAUGAGGGAGGUCAAUUAGCUGAGCCUUUUUCUCGGUCUGUAACUUGCUCCCAUGAGCUGGGGUGUGAGGUGACAAACAUUUAAGAAACCUUGGCAGUGACAUCUGCAAACACCCAUUUCCUGCUGGGGUGUUUCACCAGCUGCCGAAGACUUGAUCCAUCAGUGAACUUAGCUUUAACGAUGCCUGUCACAGGGAAACAGAUCACGCAACUACCAAACAUGACAACAGCCGUGUGGCAAAUGUGAGGAGGGAGACCAGAGCCAAUGCUCACUUGUUCCAAGUUGGUGAUUCUUUAAAUCUCUGGAAGCUGUCAUAGAUAAUUCUGAAAAUCCCCCCAAAGAUUUCCUAAGGUCCAAAAAAAAAAAAAAAAUGCACACGGGCCCAGAUUUCUAUAGUGCAGCUUAGUUUCGGGAUUGUUUAUGGAUCUUCCUGGGACGUGCAGAUACUAAAACGUGCGAAUCUGGAACGUGUCUUGGACUGCUGAGGGUCAGUUCAAUGCCAAGUCUUAAACACAGCCCAUACUCAGAAGAUAAAUAUACAUGAGGACCCACAAGGUUGACAUUUUCCUGUGCUUCUCUGUUGUGUGGAUGGCGGUGAUAUCUGUAGACUCAGGACCUGGUUGGUAGAGGGUAGGAAGGUAUAGCAAUUUAAAAGGCCAGGGCAGGCAUCCGGUGGACCACUAGGCAUAUGGCUGGAUGUAAUCGUCUGUGUGGGAGCGAAGCCACCAUUGGCAGAGCAGUCUCUUCCCUAGUGACUGUCAGUCCUGGCUGCAGUGACAUGCACGCACAUCCCCAGAAGACCAGUAGUCUGCUGCUUGCCAGGAACAGGUCUCCUUUCUUAGUGGAAUCUGCUGUUUACGCUGACAUCCUGGCAGCUCAGAACUUGCCCAGUUUGUGCUUUUCUGAAGUGAAAUUCCUUCCUGGACUCUCACUGUUGAUGUCCCCACCCCCACCCCACUCCCCCAUCUUCCUCCCCCCCCUCCCCGCCCCCAGACAUAAUAUUUAUCCCGUCACAGUCUGGGCUCCUUCAUAUUUGUGUAGUGUCGGUUUCUUUAAGCAUUUCCAUUCCGCUUUUACGUGAUUUGGGGUACAGUGUGGGAUGUUGUCUCUCUCGGCUGAGCGGAAGGCUGUGGUGGAGACGCGUUGCGGGAAGGAUAAACUGUUCUGGCGCUCCAAAAAGGGAGGGCCGCCUUGGUGUGCGGCUUUUCCGGGAGAGUUGGUCUUAGUGACUCAUGAUGUUAUCACAGGAUUCAUAUCAUUCUCUAUUUGAUCACAAAUUCAUAGAGGAAGAAGAAAUCCAACUGCCACCCCUAGGGAUGUUUCUCGGAGAGCAGUCCAUGUAAGCACUAGAAACUGAUUGUUGGGUCUCCUAGGGAGAACAAGAAGAAGGAAAAGGUGUGCGCUAUGUUAAAAUCCAAUGUCCACUUUUCUUCCAUUUUCUUUCUGUUUUUUUUGGUUCACGGUUUGUAAUAGCGCAUGUAGUAAAGUCUGUUUUCUUCGGAUUUAACUACAAACAAACAAAAAUAAAAUGGUAC